UUAUAAUUUUUAGCAAAUAUUUCAUUAGAACUAGAGAAUUAAAGAAUUACAUGCUGCUACUAUUGUAGCAGAAAUAAACGAAGAGAGAGAAUAACUACAAUUUUGGAAUGGCAGAAUUAGAUCACAGUGGUGGUCAUGGGAUUGUAAUUUAUUUCCAAUUUUUAUCUAUCUCCUUAUCAUCAUCAAAAGAUCUAAUGCAGCUAGUAUGCUGCGUUUAUUGAGAAUUAAGACCACUAGGAGUUGACAUAUUUCGCUCAGAAGUU